AUGGGUGAUUGGUGUUGUCAUUUAAUUGCAUUUCGCAGUGCUCAGAAUGCUGGUUCCCACUGGACUCAACUUGCUGGGAUGUCUGCAAACUCAAAGGUUUCUUUCAAGGGCUUCUUUGUUCUGAUUUCUGAUGAAGUAUUCUGGGCCCUGUUUUAUUUCCUGCUGCCUGCUUGCUGUAUUCCUGAGACCUGCUGGCAAAGGGAGGUUUUCACAGCCUGCAGUGUUGAUUCCAAGAAGUGUGAAGGGAACAGAACUAUGCUGGAUGACAUGACUCACCUUGGAGAAGUUGGCGUUUUCCAGCUGAGUGAAAGUGGGAAGUUUCAGCCUUGCUAGUCCAGAUGUUUUAAUGGACAUUGCUGCAGUAGAGAAACCCUCAUCUGCACAUCUUGCUCAGCCUUGAAUAGGAGAGAAGCAAGUUACAUACUAACGUAAAUGUUUAAUGAUUUAUGACAAAAAAAAAAAUUAGACGGUGAGCAAAAUAUUGGGUUAAUUGACUAUGGAGUCCUAAAUUCCCCAAAACGUAGCAUCCCAGCCAAAUAUGGCUGAAAUAUCAGCUGUCAUAUGAUGAAUAUUUUAAAGAAGAUUCUAUUAUAUACCUAGGGGUUCAUUCGCUUCAGUAAUGAGGACAGUUACCUCUAGGGAAAGGAAGCUAUAUUAUGCUUGCCACUUAACCAGGGGCUGGUUUGACAGGCAUCAGCUCAGAAUAUAUGUGUAUAUGUAGGGAAUCACAGCAGCCUGUCUCUGGCUCACUGAGCAGGAAAUGUUGUGCUGUACAAUACUUUGGGUUUCUAUCUAUGGAUUUGUGCAUGGCACUGAGUGGGACUCAGACUAUUUUUAUUCCCGAGUCUGAUUGUUGAGGUGGAAUCCAUCACCUACUAAAUAUUAAAUCAGCAGUUUUUUUAAAGAGCAACACUGUCUCUGCUGACUUGAACAUCCUUAUGUGGCCCAGAGGAAAAGAGAAACAAAGACAAGAUGAGAAAACUAUCGUCUUUUGCAUUCUUCUUAAUAUUAAUGAUUUCUCUAAAGUUUUCAAACUGUUGAAGGCAAAAAGUGAGAUAGAACUUUCACAUGAGUAAGAAAUGACCCAGGUGAAAAAAAAAAAAAAAGCAUACAUUAUAAAAACAGCAGUGAAACUUCUGGAGUUGAAUUAUUAGUUGGAAGUGAUGGAGAAAAUGCAUCAACGGAUUAUUUUUUUAAACAUGUUUUGAUUGUUUCCAAACAAACAUGGCUGGGAAUUAUGAAGAAUGUGUCAAUUCAAAAUUAUCUGAAGACUUUAAUGCAAAUGUAAUUUCUGCCAGAUCCUACACUGAGUAUCACUUCUGAAACCCAAUGUGUGCCAGUCUCAAGUUUUGAGAUAUUUGCCCAAUUUAUGUGGUAUUGUCCAUCUUGCCGGACUGACUGGAAUUGGAUACAGUUAACUCUUGGUUGUUUUUUUAUUUGUUUGUUUGUUUGUGUUUUUUUAAGUUAAUGGUUGCACUUCAUAGGCAAUACCUAAAGACAGCAAUCUCUGAGGUUUCUGAAUGAGUAUUUCUAAUAUACCUGUAUUUUUCCUAUAUGAAUACUCAUCAUGCACCACUGCACAAAUAAAAGCACAUCUCUGUCACCCUUAAAGAGUCUG
rnacentral:lncRNA from 1 species